rnacentral:rRNA from 1 species
UGGGGAAUCUUGCACAAUGGGCGAAAGCCUGAUGCAGCAACGCCGCGUGCGGGAAGACAGCCCUAGGGUUGUAAACCGCUUUCAGCAGGGAAGAAACUGACGGUACCUGCAGAAGAAGAUGCGGCCAACUACGUGCCAGCAGCCGCGGUGACACGUAGGCAUCAAGCGUUAUCCGGAUUUAUUGGGCGUAAAGAGCUCGUAGGCGGCUUGGUAAGUCGACCGUGAAAACCAGAGGCUCAACCUCUGGAUGUCGGUCGAUACUGCCAUGGCUAGAGUCCGGUAGAGGAGAGUGGAAUUCCCGGUGUAGCGGUGGAAUGCGCAGAUAUCGGGAGGAACACCAGUAGCGAAGGCGGCUCUCUGGGCCGGAACUGACGCUGAGGAGCGAAAGCGUGGGUAGCAAAACAGGAUUAGAUACCCUGGUAGUCCACGCCGUAAACGUUGGGUACUAGGUGUGGCGUCUUUUUCAACGGAUGCCGUGCCGAAGCUAACGCAUUAAGUACCCGCCUGGGAGUACGGCCGCAAGGCUAAAACUCAAA